rnacentral:rRNA from 1 species
AAGAGUUUGAUCAUGGCUCAGAUUGAACGCUGGCGGCAGGCCUAACACAUGCAAGUCGAACGGUAACAGGAAGCAGCUUGCUGCUUUGCUGACGAGUGGCGGACGGGUGAGUAAUGUCUGGGAAACUGCCUGAUGGAGGGGGAUAACUACUGGAAACGGUAGCUAAUACCGCAUAACGUCGCAAGACCAAAGAGGGGGACCUUAGGGCCUCUUGCCAUCGGAUGUGCCCAGAUGGGAUUAGCUAGUAGGUGGGGUAAAGGCUCACCUAGGCGACGAUCCCUAGCUGGUCUGAGAGGAUGACCAGCCACACUGGAACUGAGACACGGUCCAGACUCCUACGGGAGGCAGCAGUGGGGAAUAUUGCACAAUGGGCGCAAGCCUGAUGCAGCCAUGCCGCGUGUAUGAAGAAGGCCUUCGGGUUGUAAAGUACUUUCAGCGGGGAGGAAGGGAGUAAAG